AUACGGAGGGUGCAAGCGUUGUUCGGAAUCACUGGGCGUAAAGGGCGCGCAGGCGGUUUGGUAAGUCAGAUGUGAAAGCCCACGGCUCAACCGUGGAAGUGCAUUUGAAACUGUCAGACUUGAGUACUAGAGGGGAAAGUGGAAUUCCCGGUGUAGAGGUGAAAUUCGUAGAUAUCGGGAGGAAUACCGGUGGCGAAGGCGACUUUCUGGCUAGAUACUGACGCUGAGGCGCGAAAGCGUGGGGAGCAAACAGGAUUAGAUACCCUAGUAGUCC
rnacentral:rRNA from 1 species